UGGUGGAGAUGCAUAAUUGUAAACUGGUGGUGGAGGUGACUUCACAGGUGGGGGAGGAGAGUGGUAGUAGUAUGGAGGUGGUGGGGAUGGUGAUGGAGGUGGUGGGGAUUUGUAGUAGUACGGUGGUGGAGGCGAGUAGACUGGUGGGGGAGGAGAGUGGUAAUAGUACGGAGGUUGAGGAGAUGGUGACGGAGGUGGUGGGGACUUGUAAUAGUAUGGUGGUGGAGGUGAGUGGACAGGUGGGGGAGGAGAGUGGUAAUAAUAUGGCGGUGGAGGAGAUGGCGACGGAGGUGGUGGGGAUUUGUAGUAGUAGGGCGGGGGAGGAGAGUGGACUGGUGGUGGUGGGGAUUUGUAGUAGUAUGGAGGUGGAGGUGGAGGUGAGUAGACUGGUGGUGGUGGGGAUUUGUAGUAGUAUGGAGGUGGAGGUGAGUGGACUGGUGGUGGCGGGGAUUUGUAGUAGUAGGGUGGAGGAGGAGAGUGGACUGGAGGUGGCGGGGAUUUGUAGUAGUAUGGUGGUGGAGGCGAGUAGACUGGAGGGGGUGGUGACUUGUAGUAGUAAGGUGGCGGAGGUGAGUAAACGGGAGGAGGGGGUGACUUGUAGUAGUAAGGUGGUGGAGGUGAGUAGACUGGUGGUGGAGGUGAUUUGUAAUAGUAUGGGGCAGGUAUGUGGACUGGCGGUGGUGGUGACUUGUAAUAGUAGGGAGGUGGAGGGGAUGGUGAAGGUGGUGGUGGAGACUUGUAGUAGUAUGGCGGUGGGGGUGAAUAGACUGGUGGUGGAGGUGAUUUAUAAUAGUAUGGAGGUGGAGGAGAUGGCGAUGGAGGUGGCGGAGAUUUAUAGUAGUAAGGUGGUGGAGGAGAGUGGACUGGUGGUGGAGGUGAUUUGUAAUAGUAUGGCGGUGGAGGAGAGUAGACUGGUGGUGGAGGUGAUUUAUAGUAGUAUGGCGGUGGUGGUGAGUGGACAGGUGGUGGAG
rnacentral:lncRNA from 1 species